GCCAAGACCUUAAUGGAGGGUAUCAACGGGCAGUCUUUCAGCAUAGUGCUUAUGAUCAUCGCUGAUAUCUAUCGAGCCUUAGGAAAGUGUCAGCAAGGGGAUCCGCAUUUCGAGGGUUGUAAUGUGUUACUUCAACUUUGGCUCAUAUAACACAUUCAGAAAGGCGACUACAGAGGAAAUCAUCCGCAGGGAUUGGGAUGACCAUAUCGCUUACCAUCACCCAACGGGAAUGAACUUCAU
rnacentral:lncRNA from 1 species